AAAUUAUUAUGCAUUCUCUCAUAUAAUCAUGGGGAUAUGGCCCAUAAGUUUCUACCCAAUGACCGAAAAUCGUUGGACUAUGAGAGAAAGUGG
rnacentral:ncRNA from 1 species